rnacentral:rRNA from 1 species
UACCAGCACCCCGAGUGGUCGGGACGAUUAUUGGGCCUAAAGCAUCCGUAGCCGGUUUUACAAGUCCUCCGUUAAAUCCAACUGCUUAACAGAUGGGCCGCGGAGGAUACUAUAAGACUAGGAGGCAGGAGAGGCAAGCGGUACUCAGUGGGUAGGGGUAAAAUCCGUUGAUCCAUUGAAGACCACCAGUGGCGAAGGCGGCUUGCCAGAAUGCGCUCGACGGUGAGGGAUGAAAGCGUGGGGAGCAAACGGG